rnacentral:tRNA from 1 species
UUAGUUGAAGCCAAAUAGAGGCGUAUCACUGUUAAUGAUAUCAUUGAAUAUUAAUUCCAAUUAAG